GGUUAAGCGACUAAGCGUACACGGUGGAUGCCCUGGCAGUCAGAGGCGAUGAAGGACGUGCUAAUCUGCGAUAAGCGUCGGUAAGGUGAUAUGAACCGUUAUAACCGGCGAUUUCCGAAUGGGGAAACCCAGUGUGUUUCGACACACUAUCAUUAACUGAAUCCAUAGGUUAAUGAGGCGAACCGGGGGAACUGAAACAUCUAAGUACCCCGAGGAAAAGAAAUCAACCGAGAUUCCCCCAGUAGCGGCGAGCGAACGGGGAGCAGCCCAGAGCCUGAAUCAGUGUGUGUGUUAGUGGAAGCGUCUGGAAAGGCGCGCGAUACAGGGUGACAGCCCCGUACACAAAAAUGCACAUACUGUGAGCUCGAUGAGUAGGGCGGGACACGUGGUAUCCUGUCUGAAUAUGGGGGGACCAUCCUCCAAGGCUAAAUACUCCUGACUGACCGAUAGUGAACCAGUACCGUGAGGGAAAGGCGAAAAGAACCCCGGCGAGGGGAGUGAAAAAGAACCUGAAACCGUGUACGUACAAGCAGUGGGAGCACGCUUAGGCGUGUGACUGCGUACCUUUUGUAUAAUGGGUCAGCGACUUAUAUUCUGUAGCAAGGUUAACCGAAUAGGGGAGCCGAAGGGAAACCGAGUCUUAACUGGGCGUUAAGUUGCAGGGUAUAGACCCGAAACCCGGUGAUCUAGCCAUGGGCAGGUUGAAGGUUGGGUAACACUAACUGGAGGACCGAACCGACUAAUGUUGAAAAAUUAGCGGAUGACUUGUGGCUGGGGGUGAAAGGCCAAUCAAACCGGGAGAUAGCUGGUUCUCCCCGAAAGCUAUUUAGGUAGCGCCUCGUGAAUUCAUCUCCGGGGGUAGAGCACUGUUUCGGCAAGGGGGUCAUCCCGACUUACCAACCCGAUGCAAACUGCGAAUACCGGAGAAUGUUAUCACGGGAGACACACGGCGGGUGCUAACGUCCGUCGUGAAGAGGGAAACAACCCAGACCGCCAGCUAAGGUCCCAAAGUCAUGGUUAAGUGGGAAACGAUGUGGGAAGGCCCAGACAGCCAGGAUGUUGGCUUAGAAGCAGCCAUCAUUUAAAGAAAGCGUAAUAGCUCACUGGUCGAGUCGGCCUGCGCGGAAGAUGUAACGGGGCUAAACCAUG
rnacentral:rRNA from 1 species